CACGUAGGGCGCAAGCGUUUGUCCGGAAUUAUUGGGCGUAAAGAGCUCGUAGGCGGUCUGUUGCGUCCGCUGUGAAAACUCGGGGCUUAACCCCGAGCCUGCAGUGGAUACGGGCAGACUAGAGGUAGGUAGGGGAGAAUGGAAUUCCCGGUGUAGCGGUGAAAUGCGCAGAUAUCAGGAGGAACACCGGUGGCGAAGGCGGGUCUCUGGGCCGAUAUUGACGCUGAGGAGCGAAAGCGUGGGGGAGCGAACAGG
rnacentral:rRNA from 1 species